GCCAAACAGCUAGCUUACUCCCCAAAAAUUAAAUAACAACAUUUACAUGUUUUAAUUAACCCAACUAAACACAACCAAACCAUUUUCCUGUCUUAGUACGGGCGACGGAAAAGACACUACCAACUAAGCGAUAGAAAAAGUACCGCAUGGGAAAGCUGAAAAAGAAAUGAAACAACUCAUUUAAGCCUAACAAAGCAGAGAUUUACCCUCGUACCUUUUGCAUCAUGAUUUAGCUAGCACCUUUGAGCAAAGAGCCCUUUAGUUCAAAACCCCGAAACCAAGUGAGCUACCCCGAGACAGCCUAUACUUUAGGGCCAACCCGUCUCUGUGGCAAAAGAGUGGGAAGAUCUCUGGGUAGGGGUGACAGACCUACCGAACUUGGUGAUAGCUGGUUGCCUAGGAAAUGGAUAGAAGUUCAGCCUCAUGCUCCCCAACUCACAAAGGUACCACCACCUCACGAGCCUGAGAAACACAUGAGAGUUAGUCAAAAGGGGUACAGCCCUUUUGAAAAAGGAUACAACCUUUUAAGGAGGUUAAGGAUCACACUAAAAAAGACUACUGCUCCAGUGGGCCUAAAAGCAGCCACCUGAACAGAAAGCGUUAAAGCUCAGGCAGACCUAAUAUCUUUUAUUCUGAUAUAACAUCCAAAACCCCUAAACCUACUAGGCCCUUCCAUGCGUCCAUGGAAGCGACCCUGCUAAAAUGAGUAACAAGAAAGAAACCCUUUCUCCUGGCCCAUGUGUAAGCUAGAUCGGACCCACCACUAGCAAUCAACGAACCCAACCAAAGAGGGCAAUGUAGCUCACAAAAAAGACAAGAAAACCCUACAUUCAACCCCAUCGUUAACCCCACACUGGAGGGCCCCAUAGGAAAGACUCAAAGAAGAGGAAGGAACUCGGCAAACACAAGCCUCGCCUGUUUACCAAAAACAUCGCCUCCCGCAAAAAUCAAUGUAUAGGAGGUCCUGCCUGCCCAGUGACCAAGUUAAACGGCCGCGGUAUCUUGACCGUGCAAAGGUAGCGCAAUCACUUGUCUUUUAAAUGAAGACCUGUAUGAAUGGCAAGACGAGGGCUUAACUGUCUCCCCCUUCUAGUCAGUGAAAUUGAUCUGCCCGUGCAGAAGCGGACAUAAAUAUACAAGACGAGAAGACCCUUUGGAGCUUAAGACACCAGGACCACCUACGUCAAAAACUUAGCCCAAACUAAUCUAAACAAAGUAACAUCUGGUCCCCGUCUUCGGUUGGGGCGACCGCGGGGGAAAACAAAGCCCCCACGUGGAAUGGGAAAUAUCCUAAAACCGAGAGAGACAUCUCCAAGAAACAGAACAUCUGACCAAAAAGAUCCGGCUACUACAGCCGAUCAACGGACCAAGUUACCCUAGGGAUAACAGCGCAAUCCUCUUCCAGAGUCCAUAUCGACAAGGGGGUUUACGACCUCGAUGUUGGAUCAGGACAUCCUAAUGGUGCAGCCGCUAUUAAGGGUUCGUUUGUUCAACGAUUAAAGUCCUACGUGAUCUGAGUUCAGACCGGAGCAAUCCAGGUCAGUUUCUAUCUGUAAUGCCGUUUUUUCUAGUACGAAAGGACCGAAAAAACAGGGCCCAUAUUAUAAACACGCCCUACUCCCACUUGAUGAAGACAACUCAAUCAAACAAGGGAAAGCACAUCCCGACUCAAGAUAAGAGUUC
rnacentral:rRNA from 1 species